AAGGAUUUAAGUUAAAUUAAAAAACUAAUAACCUUCAAAGUUAUAAAUAGAAUAUUUCUAAGCCUUA
rnacentral:tRNA from 1 species